ACAAUCCUUCGGGUGCGCUUAUGGGCGGCGAGCGGCGGACGGGUGAGUAAUGCCUGGGAAUAUGCCCUGAUGUGGGGGAUAACCAUUGGAAACGAUGGCUAAUACCGCAUAAUCUCUUCGGAGCAAAGAGGGGGACCUUCGGGCCUCUCGCGUCAGGAUUAGCCCAGGUGAGAUUAGCUAGUUGGUGGGGUAAGAGCUCACCAAGGCGACGAUCUCUAGCUGGUCUGAGAGGAUGAUCAGCCACACUGGAACUGAGACACGGUCCAGACUCCUACGGGAGGCAGCAGUGGGGAAUAUUGCACAAUGGGGGAAACCCUGAUGCAGCCAUGCCGCGUGUGUGAAGAAGGCCUUCGGGUUGUAAAGCACUUUCAGUUGUGAGGAAGGCAUAUACGUUAAUAGCGUAUGUGUUUGACGUUAGCAACAGAAGAAGCACCGGCUAACUCCGUGCCAGCAGCCGCGGUAAUACGGAGGGUGCGAGCGUUAAUCGGAAUUACUGGGCGUAAAGCGCAUGCAGGCGGCUUGUUAAGCCAGAUGUGAAAGCCCGGGGCUCAACCUCGGAAUAGCAUUUGGAACUGGCAGGCUAGAGUCUUGUAGAGGGGGGUAGAAUUUCAGGUGUAGCGGUGAAAUGCGUAGAGAUCUGAAG
rnacentral:rRNA from 1 species